AGGAGACCAGAAGGAUGUUCUUGAAGGACAUGAUUUCCCAAAAGAAGACUAGUAGCAUAAUUCCCAAGGGAAACCAUCAUUCAUGCCAUUUGUGAUUUUCUUUCAAAUGCUUUUGUUGAUUAAUUUUAUGGAAGAAUCUGCUACCCAUAAAUCUAGCUUGUAUGAAUUGAUGUUAAAUUAAUUUGCCUAUAAACAUUCUUCAAUUAUGGGGGGAAAAGGAGGUUAGACUGACACCUCACAUCAUGCAGGGGCACAGCUUGGCCUAGGCUCUAUAACUGCCUUGUGCUUUUAAUAGCUAUGACAACAACCAAACCAACCUAAAAGCCCGAACUGUCAAACAAAGAGAUUCAUACAUAAUAUUAAUCCAUUUUGAAAAUAUAUUUAUUUAGCUGGUGGUUGUGCUAGUUAGAAAAGCUGUUAGUUUGUUAAGGGAAGUAA
rnacentral:misc_RNA from 1 species